rnacentral:rRNA from 1 species
UCUGUCUUAAUUAAAGAUAUUGAAUUUAACUUUUAAGUGAAAAGGCUUAAAUGAUCUGGAGGGACGAUAAGACCCUAUAAAACUUUAUAUUUGAAAGUAGAAAUUAGUUUUGUUUUAAGGUUAUUAUUUUAUAAUAUUUGGUUGGGGUGACAAGGAUAGAAGAAAGAGUAUCUGUUUUUUUUUUWAACAAUAAUAYUUGAUUGAAUGAUCCUAAAAGGGAUUUAAGAUUAAGUUACUUUAGGGAUAACAGCGUAAUUUUCUUUAAGAGUUCUUAUCGACAGGAAAGUUUGCGACCUCGAUGUUGAAUUAAAGGUUCUUUAUAGAUGUAGAAACUAUAAUAGAAGGUCUGUUCGACCUU